UACGUAGGGGGCGAGCGUUGUCCGGAAUCAUUGGGCGUAAAGCGCGUGUAGGCGGCCAUGUAAGUCCGUUCUGAAAGUCCGGGGCUCAACCCCGGGAGGCGGAUGGAUACUGCAUGGCUCGAGUACGGAAGAGGCGAGUGGAAUUCCCGGUGUAGCGGUGAAAUGCGCAGAUAUCGGGAGGAACACCAAUGGCGAAGGCAGCUCGCUGGGACGUUACUGACGCUGAGACGCGAAAGCGUGGGGAGCAAACAGG
rnacentral:rRNA from 1 species